rnacentral:lncRNA from 1 species
AUCACUAAGAAAAAAAUAUCCUCCGGACAAGACUGGAUGGGAUCUAACGGACAUUGGAGAGACACCACUCUGUUCGACUCCAAGAGUUGAAAAAUUCCUUAAAAAAAGAAUUCAAGAGGGUGUUACUACAAGAAGAGAUGCUUUAGAAACAAAAAUCUUGAUGCAAUAGGAUUUUUCUAGGGGAUAAGAACACCAAUACUUUCAUGCCCAAAC